AUUUGAUAAGUUCAUUAAAUUUUGUGAAUGGUACGACAAUAUUUGAGGGCGAGCACGAUAUUGUCACUGAGGAGGACCUAGAACAUCUGCUUCAACUUUUAGAUAACAAGGAGAGUGGGGAUACAGCGUGGCAGAAUUUGAUGGAGCGCACAACCUCCAACAUGACCUACAAAGCCUGGCGGCAUGAGCCUGAGGAGGGACCUAUAAUGUAUUGCAGUCGAACUAUUUUUGAGGAUGCUACUCCUGAACUGGUUAGAGAUUUCUUCUGGGAUGGUGAUUUUCGUCUUAAGUGGGAUCCCAUGCUUGCA